rnacentral:rRNA from 1 species
UGGGGAAUAUUGCACAAUGGGCGCAAGCCUGAUGCAGCCAUGCCGCGUGUGUGAAGAAGGCCUUCGGGUUGUAAAGCACUUUCAGCGAGGAGGAAGGUGGUGAACUUAAUACGUUCAUCAAUUGACGUUACUCGCAGAAGAAGCACCGGCUAACUCCGUGCCAGCAGCCGCGGUAAUACGGAGGGUGCAAGCGUUAAUCGGAAUUACUGGGCGUAAAGCGCACGCAGGCGGGUUUGUUAAGUCAGAUGUGAAAUCCCCGGGCUCAACCUGGGAACUGCUUUGAAACUGGCAAGCUAGAGUCUCGUAGAGGGGGGUAGAAUUCCAGGUGUAGCGGUGAAAUGCGUANAGAUCUGGAGGAAUACCGGUGGCGAAGGCGGCCCCCCU